GCGCGGGUGGCGGAAUGGGUAGACGCACCAGAUUUAGGUUCUGGCGCCGCAAGGCGUGGGGGUUCGAGUCCCCCCUCGCGCACCA
rnacentral:tRNA from 1 species